rnacentral:tRNA from 2 species
GCCCUUGUAGCUCAGGGGAUAGAGCAACUGCCUCCUAAGCAGUAGGUCGCAGGUUCGAAUCCUGCCGAGGGCG